UACGGAGGGUGCAAGCGUUAUCCGGAUUCACUGGGUUUAAAGGGAGCGUAGGUGGGUUGGUAAGUCAGUGGUGAAAUCCCCGAGCUUAACUUGGGAACUGCCAUUGAUACUAUCAGUCUUGAAUAUUGUGGAGGUCAGCGGAAUAUGUCAUGUAGCGGUGAAAUGCUUAGAUAUGACAUAGAACACCAAUUGCGAAGGCAGCUGGCUACGCAUAUAUUGACACUGAGGCUCGAAAGCGUGGGGAUCAAACAGG
rnacentral:rRNA from 1 species